rfam:Triticum aestivum genome assembly, contig: Triticum_aestivum_CS42_TGACv1_scaffold_061726_1DL
UUCCUACUCCCUUCGUCCGGAAAUACUUAUCAGAUAAAUGGAUAAAAAUGGAUGUACCUAGAACUAAAAUACGUCUAGAUACAUCCAUUCCUCCGACAAGUAUUUCCGGACGGAGGGAGUACUAG